rnacentral:rRNA from 1 species
GCGGCCUAUACAUGCAAGUCGAACGGUAACAUUGGUGCUUGCACCAGAUGACGAGUGGCGCACGGGUGCGUAACGCGUAUGCAACCUACCUUUUACUAGAGUAUAGCCCAGAGAAAUUUGGAUUAAUCCUCUAUAACAUCUUUUAAUUUCAUGAUUAUAAGAUUAAAGUUUUAACGGUAAAAGAUGGGCAUGCGUCCUAUUAGUUUGUAGGUGAGGUAACGGCUCACCUAGACUACGAUAGGUAGGGGCCCUGAGAGGGGGAUCCCCCACACUGGUACUGAGACACGGACCAGACUCCUACGGGAGGCAGCAGUAAGGAAUAUUGGACAAUGGACGAAAGUCUGAUCCAGCCAUGCCGCGUGCAGGAUGACAGCCCUACGGGUUGUAAACUGCUUUUAUACAGGAAGAAACACUCCGACGUGUCGGAGCUUGACGGUACUGUAAGAAUAAGGAUCGGCUAACUCCGUGCAGCAGCCGCGGUAAUACGGAGGAUCCAAGCGUUAUCCGGAAUCAUUGGGUUUAAAGGGUCCGCAGGCUGUUUUUUAAGUCAGAGGUGAAAUCCUACAGCUCAACUGUAGAACUGCCUUUGGUACUGGAAAACUUGAGUUAUUGUGAAGUGGUUAGAAUGUGUGGUGUAGCGGUGAAAUGCAUAGAUAUCACACAGAAUACCGAUUGCGAAGGCAGAUCACUAACAAUAUACUGACGCUCAUGGACGAAAGCGUGGGGAGCGAACAGGAUUAGAUACCCUGGUAGUCCACGCCG